rnacentral:rRNA from 1 species
AACGAACGCUGGCGGCAUGCCUAACACAUGCAAGUCGAACGAGACCUUCGGGUCUAGUGGCGCACGGGUGCGUAACGCGUUGGAACCUGCCCUUAGGUUCGGAAUAACUCCCCGAAAGGGGUGCUAAUACCGGAUAAUGUCUUCGGACCAAAGAUUUAUCGCCUUUGGAUGGGCCCGCGUUGGUUUAGCUAGUGGGUAGGGUAAAAGCCUACCAAGGCGACGAUCCAUAGCUGGUCUGAGAGGAUGAUCAGCCACACUGGGAAUGGGACACGGCCCAGACUCCUACGGGAGGCAGCAGUGGGGAAUAUUGGACAAUGGGCGAAAGCCUGAUCCAGCAAGGCCGCGUGAGUGAUGAAGGGCUUAGGGUUGUAAAGCUCUUUUACCCGGGAUGAUAAUGACAGUACCGGGAGAAUAAGCACCGGCUAACUCCGU